rnacentral:rRNA from 1 species
AGAGUUUGAUCCUGGCUCAAAACGACCUCUGGCAGCGUGGAUUAGGCAUGCAAGUCGAACGGGAUUGACCUGAUAGCAAUAUUGGGUCAUGAGAGUGGCGAAAGGGCGAGUAAUGCAUGGGCAAUCUAUCCUUGAGUUCGGGAUAACUCAGCGAAAGUUGAGCUAAUACCGGAUGUGGUUACGGCGGGGCAUCCUGCUGUUACUAAAGAUGGGGCUCCUUCGGGACCUGUCGCUCUUGGCGGAGCCCGUGUGCCAUCAGCUUGUUGGUGAGGUAACGGCUCACCAAGGCUUACGGCUAGCUGGUCUGAGAGGACGAUCAGCCGCACUGGGACUGAGACACUGCCCAGACUCCUACGGGAGGCUGCAGUCGAGGAUCAUUCGCAAUGCGCGAAAGCGUGACGAUGCGACGCUGCGUGGAGGACGACGGCCUUCGGGUUGUAAACUCCUGUCAUGGGGGAAAAAUGUAUUGGAUGUUAACAGCAUCUGGUAUUUGAUGGUACCCCAAGAGGAAGCCACGGCUAACUCUGUGCCAGCAGCCGCGGUAAUACAGAGGUGGCGAGCGUUGUUCGGAUUUACUGGGCGUAAAGGGCGCGUAGGCGGCAUUGUGUGUCGUAUGUGAAAUCCCCGGGCUCAACCCGGGAAGUGCAUGCGAAACUGCAGUGCUAGAGCAGAGGAGGGGAGAGCGGAAUUCAUGGUGUAGCGGUGAAAUGCGUUGAUAUCAUGGGGAACACCCGAGGCGAAGGCGGCUCUCUGGAAUCUUGCUGACGCUCAGGCGCGAAAGCCGGGGGAGCAAACAGGAUUAGAUACCCUGGUAGUCCCGGCCCU